rnacentral:lncRNA from 1 species
ACCUGCUGUAAGGCCAAAUGAUGUAUAAUACAUUAGACACGGUGAACCAUUCACCAUGUUCAACUUAAUACCCUUGCCCCAGUCCUGCCCGCGUGGUGCUGACGUGGCGCCUGCGUGGUAGGAUUAGAGCUAUUUUUGCAAUUUAAAUUUUAAUAGAACUAUUUUUGAAAUAAAAAUUCCUCAGGGGGCUAUUUGCAAAAGAAACCCUUUUUAUUGUAUAAAAGAAAAAAAAGGUGAUUAACUUGUUAUUGAUGACGUGGUCCAAAUGUGAUAGUGUAGAAUUCCUCCCCUGACACACAAAAGUUUCCAAAACAGUACGCCGAAGAAUUAAAUAAAAGCCCCUCAGUGGAAGGGCAAUCAUUGUCCGUAUUAUGGUGUAUGGUAUAGAGACCCGCGUAAUGCAACGGAUAGAUAAUAAAAAUAAAAUUUUAAAAUUUUAGUAAAAUUUAUAUUUACAGUUUAUUGAUUUAUAAGAAGUUAUACCAUAUUAAGCACAGUCAACUUACAUGACUAAAUUCAACGGCUAAAAGAAUAAAAUUAUAGUUAGAAACUUAUAUAUAUAUUUUUUAAAAUCAUCGAAAUAGAGUAAGAGACAUACAAUUUUAUCGUAUUAUGUGCCUCUUAAACACUCCGUUGUGAAAAAUAAAAAAAAAUUAACUUCAGCGCAGCUGAAUCAACCGAGCGGAUACUUAUAUGAACCGCGGCUCUGCUUUGCGGGACAAUAUUUUUCGAAGGAGACAACGUUUUUCGCAUGCUUUUCUUUUUCUUCUUCUUCAUCGUCCUCAUCAUCUUCAUUAACAUAAUGAGAGAGAAAGCUAGAUGAACGUAGGGUGGGAGAUAAAUUUGUUGUGUAGUUAUUAUUUGGAUAAGAUAAUAAAUAAAAAAGAUAAAAGGAUAAGGUAGGAUAAGGUAAAUGUAAAAAA